rnacentral:rRNA from 1 species
GCCCUACCAGCUAGCCCCCCUACUUAAUACAACACACAAUAUUAAUAACCCAACAGACACUAGUUAUACAUGAUUAAACCAUUUUCCCUCCCCAGUAUAGGAGAUAG